CACUAUCCGACGCUCGUCUGGAAACAUCUGACCGAACUUGAAGAUUGUCAUUGCCGUGAUUAUUCUGCCAACUGGACUGACACAGUCGGAGGACGGCGGCGGUUCGACACGAGUUGACGACGCAGAUUUUGAAGAUUGGUCCAUGGUUGCUAGAGCAGCAGUAGGCCUAUACGUUGGCAAGCAUGACAACCGAAAAGAAGACGACCCUGUACUGAUAGGAGAUAAAUCACGUGGAUAACAAAGGCACACCGCAUUUAGAGGGGAGCAUUGGCUAGAAGUGAGCGGGCCGAUGGGCCAAGCACGACGGGGCCAGGAGUACCCGGAACAGCGACAGCGCGCGCGGAGAGUGACCGUCCCAGUGGCAACAGGCAAGGGCCGCCUGCGGCGCACAAAUGGGGCCAGGAGAGACCCCUGGCACUAGUGCCGAAACCGGCGCGCUGACCAACAGCGGCCGAACAACCUCUGGCUCGCGAGAGGAGGUUGGCGGGGAGCAAAUGGCGGGGCCCACGGUUGGAAGUGCCCUAGCAGACUCGUGGCGUGCCGACACACCAGAAGCAAGAGCACAAGCGGCGCGCCGCGCAUGUCAAACAGACGAAUGCCUGAGCAUGUGGCCCCUGCGGGUGGGGGCUAGAAUUCACCCGACGUUUGGCC
rnacentral:lncRNA from 1 species